rnacentral:rRNA from 1 species
GAUGAACGCUGGCGGCGUGCCUAAUACAUGCAAGUCGAGCGAACAGACGAGGAGCUUGCUCCUCUGACGUUAGCGGCGGACGGGUGAGUAACACGUGGAUAACCUACCUAUAAGUCUGGGAUAACUUCGGGAAACCGGAGCUAAUACCGGAUAACAUGUUGAACCGCAUGGUUCAACAGUGAAAGACGGUCUUGCUGUCACUUAUAGAUGGAUCCGCGCCGCAUUAGCUAGUUGGUAAGGUAACGGCUUACCAAGGCAACGAUGCGUAGCCGACCUGAGAGGGUGAUCGGCCACACUGGAACUGAGACACGGUCCAGACUCCUACGGGAGGCAGCAGUAGGGAAUCUUCCGCAAUGGGCGAAAGCCUGACGGAGCAACGCCGCGUGAGUGAAGAAGGUCUUCGGAUCGUAAAACUCUGUUAUUAGGGAAGAACAAAUGUGUAAGUAACUAUGCACGUCUUGACGGUACCUAAUCAGAAAGCCACGGCUAACUACGUG